GUCGUAACAAGGUAGCCGUAUCGGAAGGUGCGGCUGGAUCACCUCCUUUCUAAGGAUAUAUACAUUGAAAUAGGGUGCGCUUUUCCGUUUUGUUUAGUUUUGAAGGAUCAUAUCCUUCUUGAUUGUUCUUUGAAAACUGGAUAACGGAAAGACAUUCACGAAUAGAUCGCUCAUGUUAGGAGGAAACGGUUAAGUUAGAAAGGGCGCACGGUGGAUGCCUUGGC
rnacentral:misc_RNA from 1 species